GGUAAGGUGGCUGAGUGUUUAAGCAGUGGAUUGUAGCUCCACGGACAGAGGUUCGAUCCCUCUUCUUACCA
rnacentral:tRNA from 1 species